UGCAGGUUAGACUAGCUAUAUAGACAGCACCACGCGCUCUGCUGCAGGUUAGACUAGCUAUAUAGACAGCACCACACGCUCUGCUGCAGGUUAGACUACACGCUAUAUAGACAGCACCACGCGCUCUGCUGCAGGUUAGACUACACGCUAUAUAGACAGCACCACGCGCUCUGCUGCAGGUUAGACUACACGCUAUAUAGACAGCACCACGCGCUCUGCUGCAGGUUAGACUACACGCUAUAUAGACAGCACCACACGCUCUGCUGCAGGUUAGACUACACGCUAUAUAGACAGCACCACACGCUCUGCUGCAGGUUAGACUACACGCUAUAUAGACAGCACCACGCGCUCUGCUGCAGGUUAGACUACACGCUAUAUAGACAGCACCACGCGCUCUGCUGCAGGUUAGACUACACGCUAUAUAGACAGCACCACGCGCUCUGCUGCAGGUUAGACUACACGCUAUAUAGACAGCACCACGCGCUCUGCUGCAGGUUAGACUACACGCUAUAUAGACAGCACCACGCGCUCUGCUGCAGGUUAGACUACACGCUAUAUAGACAGCACCACACGCUCUGCUGCAGGUUAGACUACACGCUAUAUAGACAGCACCACGCGCUCUGCUGCAGGUUAGACUACACGCUAUAUAGACAGCACCACGCGCUCUGCUGCAGGUUAGACUACACGCUAUAUAGACAGCACCACGCGCUCUGCUGCAGGUUAGACUAGCUAUAUAGACAGCACCACACGCUCUGCUGCAGGUUAGACUACACGCUAUAUAGACAGCACCACACGCUCUGCUGCAGGUUAGACUACACGCUAUAUAGACAGCACCACGCGCUCUGCUGCAGGUUAGACUACACGCUAUAUAGACAGCACCACGCGCUCUGCUGCAGGUUAGACUACACGCUAUAUAGACAGCACCACACGCUCUGCUGCAGGUUAGACUACACGCUAUAUAGACAGCACCACGCGCUCUGCUGCAGGUUAGACUACACGCUAUAUAGACAGCACCACACGCUCUGCUGCAGGUUAGACUACACGCUAUAUAGACAGCACCACACGCUCUGCUGCAGGUUAGACUACACGCUAUAUAGACAGCACCACGCGCUCUGCUGCAGGUUAGACUAGCUAUAUAGACAGCACCACGCGCUCUGCUGCAGGUUAGACUAGCUAUAUAGACAGCACCACGCGCUCUGCUGCAGGUUAGACUACACGCUAUAUAGACAGCACCACGCGCUCUGCUGCAGGUUAGACUAGCUAUAUAGACAGCACCACGCGCUCUGCUGCAGGUUAGACUAGCUAUAUAGACAGCACCACGCGCUCUGCUGCAGGUUAGACUACACGCUAUAUAGACAGCACCACACGCUCUGCUGCAGGUUAGACUACACGCUAUAUAGACAGCACCACACGCUCUGCUGCAGGUUAGACUACACGCUAUAUAGACAGCACCACGCGCUCUGCUGCAGGUUAGACUACACGCUAUAUAGACAGCACCACGCGCUCUGCUGCAGGUUAGACUACACGCUAUAUAGACAGCACCACACGCUCUGCUGCAGGUUAGACUACACGCUAUAUAGACAGCACCACGCGCUCUGCUGCAGGUUAGACUACACGCUAUAUAGACAGCACCACGCGCUCUGCUGCAGGUUAGACUAGCUAUAUAGACAGCACCACGCGCUCUGCUGCAGGUUAGACUAGCUAUAUAGACAGCACCACACGCUCUGCUGCAGGUUAGACUAGCUAUAUAGACAGCACCACGCGCUCUGCUGCAGGUUAGACUACACGCUAUAUAGACAGCACCACACGCUCUGCUGCAGGUUAGACUACACGCUAUAUAGACAGCACCACGCGCUCUGCUGCAGGUUAGACUACACGCUAUAUAGACAGCACCACGCGCUCUGCUGCAGGUUAGACUACACGCUAUAUAGACAGCACCACGCGCUCUGCUGCAGGUUAGACUACACGCUAUAUAGACAGCACCACACGCUCUGCUGCAGGUUAGACUACACGCUAUAUAGACAGCACCACGCGCUCUGCUGCAGGUUAGACUACACGCUAUAUAGACAGCACCACGCGCUCUGCUGCAGGUUAGACUACACGCUAUAUAGACAGCACCACGCGCUCUGCUGCAGGUUAGACUACACGCUAUAUAGACAGCACCACACGCUCUGCUGCAGGUUAGACUACACGCUAUAUAGACAGCACCACACGCUCUGCUGCAGGUUAGACUACACGCUAUAUAGACAGCACCACGCGCUCUGCUGCAGGUUAGACUACACGCUAUAUAGACAGCACCACGCGCUCUGCUGCAGGUUAGACUAGCUAUAUAGACAGCACCACGCGCUCUGCUGCAGGUUAGACUACACGCUAUAUAGACAGCACCACGCGCUCUGCUGCAGGUUAGACUACACGCUAUAUAGACAGCACCACGCGCUCUGCUGCAGGUUAGACUACACGCUAUAUAGACAGCACCACGCGCUCUGCUGCAGGUUAGACUACACGCUAUAUAGACAGCACCACACGCUCUGCUGCAGGUUAGACUACACGCUAUAUAGACAGCACCACACGCUCUGCUGCAGGUUAGACUACACGCUAUAUAGACAGCACCACACGCUCUGCUGCAGGUUAGACUACACGCUAUAUAGACAGCACCACGCGCUCUGCUGCAGGUUAGACUACACGCUAUAUAGACAGCACCACGCGCUCUGCUGCAGGUUAGACUAGCUAUAUAGACAGCACCACACGCUCUGCUGCAGGUUAGACUAGCUAUAUAGACAGCACCACGCGCUCUGCUGCAGGUUAGACUAGCUAUAUAGACAGCACCACGCGCUCUGCUGCAGGUUAGACUACACGCUAUAUAGACAGCACCACGCGCUCUGCUGCAGGUUAGACUACACGCUAUAUAGACAGCACCACGCGCUCUGCUGCAGGUUAGACUAGCUAUAUAGACAGCACCACACGCUCUGCUGCAGGUUAGACUACACGCUAUAUAGACAGCACCACGCGCUCUGCUGCAGGUUAGACUACACGCUAUAUAGACAGCACCACACGCUCUGCUGCAGGUUAGACUACACGCUAUAUAGACAGCACCAUGCGCUCUGCUGCAGGUUAGACUACACGCUAUAUAGACAGCACCACGCGCUCUGCUGCAGGUUAGACUAGCUAUAUAGACAGCACCACGCGCUCUGCUGCAGGUUAGACUAGCUAUAUAGACAGCACCACGCGCUCUGCUGCAGGUUAGACUACACGCUAUAUAGACAGCACCACACGCUCUGCUGCAGGUUAGACUACACGCUAUAUAGACAGCACCACGCGCUCUGCUGCAGGUUAGACUACACGCUAUAUAGACAGCACCACGCGCUCUGCUGCAGGUUAGACUACACGCUAUAUAGACAGCACCAUGCGCUCU